GCAGGUUGAAGCGCGGGUAAGACCGCGUGGAGGACCGAACCCACCUGGGUUGAAAACCGGGGGGAUGACUUGGGGCUAGGGGUGAAAGGCCAAUCAAAUUCCGUGAUAGCUGGUUCUCUCCGAAAUGCAUUUGGGUGCAGCGUCGGGUCAUUACGUCCCGGGGGUAGAGCUACUGGAUGCUUGCGGGCCCGUAUCGGGUACCAACAGCAACCAAACUCCGAAUACCGGUGACGCGUAUCCCGGCAGUGAGUCGGCGGGGGAUAAGCUUCGUCGUCGAAAGGGAAACAGCCCAGACCGUCGUCUAAGGUCCCGAAGCGUGUGCUAAGUGGGAAAGGAUGUGGAGUCGCAUAGACAGCCAGGAGGUUGGCUCAGAAGCAGCCACCCUUGAAAGAGUGCGUAACAGCUCACUGGUCUAGUGGUUCCGCGCCGACAAUGUAGCGGGGCUCAAGCACACCACCGAAGACGCGGCAGUAUUUUGUACUGGGUAGGAGAGCGUCCCAUGAGGGGCGAAGCGGCCGUGUGAACGCGCCGUGGACUUCAUGGGAGUGAGAAUGCAGACAUGAGUAGCGAGAGACGGGUGAAGAUCCCGUCCGCUGGAUGACCAAGGGUUCCAGGGCCACGUUCAUCGUCCCUGGGUGAGUCGGGUCCUAAGGCGAGGCCGACAGGCGUAGUCGAAUGGAUGAACGGGUCGAUAUUCCCGUACCGGCUUUCAGCCGCCAAAACCGAGGCUUGGAGUACUAACCUCCGGGUCCGGGCUUACUGCUCCUUCGGGGGCGGGAUGCCCUGGCCUGUUGGGACCGAUCCUUGUAGUAGGUCAGCGCAGGAGUGACGCAGAAGGGUAGCCGGCCGCGGAGGUGGUCUUCCGUGGUCAAGCACGCAGGGCGUGGGACAGGCAAAUCCGUCCCGCAUGGGUCCGAGGUGCGAUGAUGGGGGCCUUAUGGCCCGAUAUCCGGUGAUCCCGGCUGCCGAGAAAAGCUUCGGCGUCAGGCUCGAAGCCGCCCGUACCCCAAACCGACACUGGUGGUCAGGUAGAGAAUACCAAAGCGAUCGAGCGAAUCCUGGUCAAGGAACUCGGCAAAUCACUCCCGUUCCUUCGGUUUAAGGGAGACCCCCGAUGGUGAACACACUUGCUGUGGGAGCUUUUGGGGGUGGCACAGACCAGGGGGUAGCGACUGUUUACCAAAAACACAGGUGCAUGCGAAGGCGCAAGCCGCUGUAUAUGCACUGACGCCUGCCCGGUGCCGGAAGGUUAAGAGGAUCCGUCAGCCUUCGGGUGAAGCGGUGAAUUCAAGCCCCGGUAAACGGCGGUGGUAACUAUAACCAUCCUAAGGUAGCGAAAUUCCUUGUCGGGUAAGUUCCGACCUGCACGAAUGGCGUA
rnacentral:rRNA from 1 species